rnacentral:rRNA from 1 species
GGACGAACGCUGGCGGCGUGCCUAAUCCAUGCAAGUCGAACGAGAGCAACCGGUGCUUGCACUGGUCAAUCUAGUGGCGAACGGGUGAGUAACACGUGGGUAACCUGCCCAUCAGAGGGGGAUAACAUCCGGAAACGGAUGCUAAAACCGCAUAGGUCUUCGAACCGCAUGGUUUGAAGAGGAAAAGAGGCGCAAGCUUCUGCUGAUGGAUGGACCCGCGGUGCAUUAGCUAGUUGGUGAGGUAACGGCUCACCAAGGCCGUGAUGCAUAGCCGACCUGAGAGGGUGAUCGGCCACAUUGGGACUGAGACACGGCCCAAACUCCUACGGGAGGCAGCAGUAGGGAAUCUUCCGCAAUGGACGCAAGUCUGACGGAGCAACGCCGCGUGAGUGAAGAAGGUUUUCGGAUCGUAAAACUCUGUUGUUAGAGAAGAACAAGUGCUAGAGUAACUGUUAGCGCCUUGACGGUAUCUAACCAGAAAGCCACGGCUAACUACGUG